AUAUAUACGUAUAUAUAUACAUAUACGUGUAUACUCAUGUAUAAAAAAUCAUGUUUGUAUUUUUGAAGAAAAUGGCAUAUAGCUCAACCUUGAGGACUGCAUUUUGGCAGGUACUUAAAUCUGUGCCAAAAUCUAUAUCAAUCAGGAUUUUCCCAGGUCUUUUGGCUGACCUCUGAAUAAUGCCCACACAGAUAAUGGAGAAUUACCUCCUUUACUUGAAAAUCACCUGAUUGUGGAUGUUAACCACAUCUACAAAAUAUCUGUACAGCAACACCUCGGUUAGUGUUUGAUUGCAUAAUAAAUGGGUACCAUGGCCUAGCCAAGCUGAUACAUAACUAUCACAGUGGAUGUAUUACAGGAGGGUCCAAAUGGCAUGACAUGAAGAUAUCAAUGAAGGUGGCAAUGAGUGGAGUGUGCCCAGUUUGCAUUGAGCCUAGAGUUGAUCUUGGGAAGGGAGAGGAGAUGAUGUUGGAAAGAUAAUGUGGAAUGCAGAAAUGUUGGACUAGAGAGUUUGGGCCUUUCAAGAGAGAAAGCAAUGCUGUAGCAGCACUGUCCCACAGAACUUUAUGUCAUGGUGGAAAUGUUCUGUCUCUGUGCUAACAUGAUAGCCACUGACCACACGUGGGUAUGGAGAUAACUUGUGAUGCAGCUAUUGAGGCCGAAGAACUGAAUUCUUAACUAAUUCUUAUUCAUGUAAUUUCAAUAGCCUUGUGUGGCUCAUGGCUACUUGUGUUGCAAAACACCACUGUAGAAGGAGUAUUCUGGUGGGAGGAUGCAUGAUGAAGUAUAGGAGAAGCAAUGUGCAGGCAGUCCAGUUAGGAGAUGACCAUAAUAUUCCCAGUGGAGACUGGGUAGAAGCAGGGAACAUGGAAAGGAGAGUUGGGGGCGAGGGAGAAAUGAAUCAAAGAUAAUCCUACAUUGACCAUUUCUCUAUCUCUCCGGCCACUUCCCUACUGUUUUGCUUCCCACCCUUUGUCACUUUCGAACUUCCUAUCAGUUAGAUUCCUCAGAGCCCAGCCCCAUUCAUCUUUUCUCAGUCUCUCUCUCUCUCCUGGCACUCACUUCCUCAGCUUCCAUGACUGGCUCUAUGUUGACAACUCCCAGGUUUAUUUUUUUAAAUCUUUCCUCUGAGCCCCACAUGCUGAUACUGCCACAUAGAAACCUCAGGGACUUAGUCUUUCCCUCCUAAUUUUCUUUUUCUUCAGGUUCUCUGAAUGUUGAUAAAUGUAAUCAUCAUCCUCUCAGCUGCUCAAGCCAGAAACCCAAGGCUCUUUGACCCCCAUCCAGUUAGUUACUAGGGUCUGCUGAUUCUAAGUAUAAAUUACAGCUUCAGUCUGUCCCUUUCUUCUCAUCUUCAGUGCUGACUCCCUCAGGUAGGCUCCAUCCUUCUUCCCUGUGCUCACAGUUUUCCCAUUGCCACUUUUGCCACCCACUGAGCUGUUCUCUAAAUAAUUCCUUUAAAAAUAGAAAUCAGAUUUCUUUAUUUCUUCUGUGAUGUGUAAUGGAAUUUUUCCCUGUUAAUUUAUCUGCCAUAUUAUAGAAUAUCACAGGACAAAGGGUUAAUUUAUUUAAUAAUAUUUAUCCAUUUAAUGUUUCUGUAGCCCUGUUGAGCAGGUACUGUUGGGAAAUAUCACUGAAGAGGUGGCACAGUCUGUAUCCCUUUGAGGCAUAUAGUCCAGUGAGAGACAGACAUUAAUGAAAUAAUUACACAAAUGACAAAGUUGUGAGAAGUGACAUUUAAGGAGAAGUAUAAGGUGUGCUGUGAGCAUACAAGAAGUAAACCUAAGCUAGCUGGGGGACCACAGAAAAUCUCCACAAAGAGGAAAGGGGGCAAAGGAGAUUCUAGGAAGAGGGAACUGCAUGUGCAAAGAUAGGAGGGAAAUACUUUUCUUCAAUAGAAUACAAUUUAAAAUGUUAAUAGAAUAUACAAACUGACAACUGCAUUUGGAUGGAAUGGAGUCUUGAAUUUUCUGGAAUGGACUUAGUCUGUUGCAACCUAAUUAUAAAACUUAAAUAAAAUUGUUAUGUUAAAUACUUUGAUAUGUUACCUCAAGUCACUUCAGUAGGUAUUUGUCGGCUCACUUUCUUAGCUGUUACAGAUUAAAAACAAAAACAUAUUUUUUCCUUCAAUGUUAUAUUCCAGUUAAGGUGAUGGUAUAUGUACAUACAAAUACAUGACUUACAUAUGUAUUAUACUAUUAUAUGAUGUAAAAUUAAGAGCCAAAAUAAAUGGUAUAAAAAUCAGUUCUAAAUUUUUAAUAUUCUUACACUUCACACUCUAAAAAGAGAAGUAUCAACCUUAAAGAGGUUUUUUUUAAAAAUAUUGAUAUACCUACUGAUAUCUACUAUAUUAGAACUUAAAACUGAGAAAUUAAAAAAAUAUGUAUUAAUUCAUGUAAAUAUAACCAAUAAUAAAAAUACACAUUAAUAUAAAUAUUUAUGUAGAAUAAGUGUCUUCUAAAAUAGUAGGAAGGGUAUCAUUUUUAAUACACUUUUGCAAACCUCUUUAAGAAAAGACAGCUGGAUUCUUAUAUAUGAUUCUGCACCUAAAAGUUGCAAUAUGUUGUUUUGGUUGAAGUACAUGAAGAUGAUUCAGUCUUACAUAGACAGGUAGUCAGAAAGAGGAGACAUAUUUUAAAGCCUUUUCAGAUAAUUGUGGAUGUUUUUCUUGGAUUUCACAAUAAAACUCAACAAGUGGUAGUUUUUAAAGAUUGGUUGUAAUGUGGAAUGUGAAACUGUAUUAAUGAAUUUUCCCUGCGUGAAAAACUUGCCUUGUGUUUUGAAAGGAUCUUUACCCAAGCAUGAUUUUUACCACCAUGCUUAGGUCAGUUGGAAAGUAUCAAUUCACUAAGUUAAGUAGAUUUUACAAAUGUUUACUUGUUUCAUUACAUGAAAAAAAAAUCACAUUUGUUAACAUUACCUUCAGUCUCAACAGAAAAGUCAUUGACUAUUAGGAAGCUGUCAGAUUCACAGUGGUUAAUUCAAUUGUCCUAAAUUCUGAUAUUUGGUUGAAAGCUUCUAUUUUGUCACUAACAGUAAAUGUUGUCAGUUGUUUUCCUUGAAAUGACAGUUGCAUGUUGUUCAUUUUUGAGAAAGUAUCUGCUAAAUACUCAUCUGUGUAACCAAAUUUUGUGUCCAUCAUCUGUCAAGUAAAAAUGGUAUUCUGUGGGAAAAAAAAAGCAGUUUUAACACACAACUCAAAAAUCCUGCAAUCCCUUUCCCUUGAGACAGUCCUCAUACUUCUGUGUGCAGCAGAAGUGUUUAAUGGGUACUUCCAUUUCUUCCCACAGAAUAUUAAGAAGAUGUGUACUCAACAUUUAAGAUUUAGUAAAGUUGGUACUUUACUGCUCUGUCAAGAACAUUCUUAAGGGAAGUGACUGUUUUUUUCAUUGUGAUCAUGUUGUGGUAAAGAAUGCCUCCACUAGUUCAGUCUGCUGCCAAUGAGGAAUUGUGCUAAGGUGCUGGCCGUUUUACACACCAUGACUUUUGCACCAUCACUGAAGAUGGUAAUGCAGUUAGAAAAGCAAAUACCACCUUAGUAUUAUUAUAAAAAUGGUUUUGACCUUGCAGUUCCCCCAAAAGGGUCAUGAACCCCCAGAGGUCUAUGGAGCCCACAUCGAUUGGCACAGAUGGUGGUACGGCAAGAGAGAAACAUGAACCCAAGUUGGUAGGAAGGCUUCCAAGGAGGAACUGAGCUGGACCUUAAAGAAGAGUUAAGAUUUGGAUAGGUGGUAAGGAGUAGGUUAUUAGGAGAGGGGUAGGGGAUUCCAGAAACCAUGUGAGCAAAGGAGUAGAGAGAGGAGGGACCAUGACACAGUCAAAAGACUGAUGAGAACGGUGGUUGGAUUGGAAGGUUAGGAAUGGGGAGUAAUAGUUUAUAAAAUGUGGCAUAGAAUCACAUUAUAAGGCAUCUGAAAUAGUCAUCUGAAAAAGGUGGAGGCAAUAUGAGAAUUAAAAAUGAAAAAGUCAAGGGUCACCUAUACUUGAUAUUGCAUAACCCCAAUUGCUUGCCAAGGACAUUGUCUAUUGGGGUAAUGCAAAAAAAAAAAAAGGGAGUGCUUUUUUAUACAGUCCCACAUAAGACUUUAUCCUCCCCCCAAAAAUCAGAAUGUUUCCUUUUUUUCUGACAGCAGGACUGUAUCAUUGAACAUAUUUUCCUUUUGCCCUCUUGCCAGGAGGCUUUGUGCCAGUUUUCAUGUUAAGAUCACAACAACUACAAUUGUCCCAAUGGUUAGUACAUUUUCUUCCUCCUACCUUCUCUGGCUCCGAUGCUGUUUAUAAUUCUUUAAUGGUAUUGUAUUCAUUCUUCUUGACGUGAAAUGUCUUAAACCUCCUUUUGAAACAGGCUAGGAGAAGGUGUAGGAUACAAUUUAAUGAUAGUAUUAAUGGCCCUUACCAUGUUUUAUUCUUUUGUGGAAUAAGGCCCUCGUGUUUAUCACACUUUACUCAGAACCUGAAGAAAGAUUGAAAGCCUCUGAUGUCCAAAACCAAAGCACUACUCCUUUAUUUGAGAGAAUGUCAACAAAUUCAGUUAAUCUGGUUACCCAAGUCAAAGCACGUUGGAAGCAGCAAGUAAUAGGGUAACACAACACCUAUUAAAGAGAGGUAAAUUGAUAGCUUAAAGAAGUAAUCCCUGAUAAUCUGAGUAACAAUAGAGAGAAGAAACAAGCUGCGGUGGAAGUUGCUGAUGAUUAUAAGGAAUGUGAAUGCAUCCAACACAGCUAGUAAUCAAUAAAGAACUGUUACCCAUUAAGGUAGAGAACACCAUUUUGAAAGCUCACAUUUAUGGAGCUUUUACUGAGUUCCAGGUUUUGUGCCAUUGCCUUGCAUACAUCAUCUCACUUAAUCUUCACAAUAACCCUGCCUUUCUAUGAUUUUCCCUUUUUACAAAUGAGUAAAUUUAGCUUAAAAGAGACACAGUAUAAACACAGAGGCACGUGGCUAGUUGUGUGUGGCACAGUUAAGAGUUGAACUUAGUAGUUCUGCCAGAUACCGAAGUCUGUGUCCUUUAUUCUCAUUUUAGACUCUUCAUUUUUUACCUCUGAAAUAAUAGUAACUUGAGUUACAUUCAAUAUCCUCUUUUAAGAGUUAAAAAUUAUUUUAUUGGUAUAAAGUUUAAUUAUCUAAAACCUCAUUUCCUCAGAGCAAUUUAUUUCUUAAAUUCUCAAUCAUUGAGUUUUUUAAGGUUUUAUUUAUUUACUAUCUAUAGUCAGCUUAAAAUGUUUUUGUACCGCUGUUUUAAAUGAGUCAUUCAUUUUUUAAAAAUUGUGUUUUGGAAACAUCUGUGCAUCCCCAUUUCCACACCACGAAUAACAGCCAUUCUUGUAAACUGCUUUUUGAGUUAAAGUAAGAAAAGUAGUAUCUACAUAAAACAUGAACCAACUGGUAGAUUUGUCACAAUCCUUUGUUUUCCUGGGCACUAGGUACUCUAAUUUGUUUUUCUUCCUUUAGCUUUGAAUGAAGUUGAAACAUUGACCCCCAGAGCAGCUGUCUGAGAUCACAGCCCAGGGGUACACGUGACAUAACCGUUUGACUAGGGAGUUACAGAUGAUGACAGCACUCUUGUGCAGCUGAAAAGCUAAAAAUAGCCCAGGGCAGUACUAAGACUGAAAAUGGAAACCUGUAAAAGAUGAGUUCACCAAAGAAAUUGUACCAGGAAAAACCCUUAGAUGACUUUCAAACACAUGUCACUGUGGGGGUGAUGGAUUGUAACAUUAAGGGAAGCUGCAGAAAAACUAUCUGAGAACCUAGUUAAGAGCCCAAGACUUCCUACUUGGUUACGCCCCAGUUACACCUUAUUUAUCAUCUUCAGCUCAAACUAAGUAUGAAUAGCUAUAGCUUAAAAUUUGAGGACUCCUAACCUGACACAGGUGUCUACUAACAUAACACAGUCACAUGUAACACAGGUGACUUAGGAAAGGGGGCAAUUCACAGCUAUUGAUUUGGUAACUGGGAACCACUGGUAUUUAUGAGGACCAAACAUAGAUAAGCUAAAGACAGUUGAAGUAUAGUUAAUUAAGAAGAAUCAGAGGAGGGGUGGAGGGGAACGUGCAGGUGCAAUGUCAAACUGCAUUUGUUGUUCCAUAAAACUAAGGAUCUUAAAGUUUGUGGAUAGAAUAUUGUGAAAGUUCACUAAAUUAUUAAGAAUCUGGUUGUGGCAAUAUUAUUUUGGUUCUAACUGAUUCCAGAAUAUAACAUUGGAGCUAUUUCUUUAAAAGUUUAGAAAUGUAAUCUAGGACAACUGUUUUGUCUAAGUGGAAAAACUACAGAUCAUUCUUCCUCAGGAGAUGGUACAAACUGAAAAUGCUUAUAGGGUCAGAAAAGCUUGAAGUAAGCAUGGCUGGAUAUUAAAUCCACGAUGGAUAUUAAAGCAAGAUGCCUUGAGGUUAUUGGAACCUUAAGAGGUUAGCCUCUAGGAGGAUAAUCAUUCACUCUCACAAAUGUCCUCUUUUACCACUUGUCUUGCUUUAUUAUAUCUAUCUUUUGUAAUGCUUUAUUGGGAUAUCUUGCAGUUUGAUCUCUCCUACAUUUCUUUUACCAACAUUACUCCCUCCAGAUGAGAACAGUCCAAGUAGAUGAUGAUUUCCUCUAGAAAGGGAGAGUAUAAAAACAAAACUAUAGGCAUUUUCACAUUUUUUUCUUUUCAUUUAUUGACUGUUGUUCCCCUUUUCUGCAGAUCACCUUUAAAGAAGGCUAAACUGAGAUAUUAAAAUGGUCAAAAGUCUGUGGGAAAACAGGAAAGCCAAAAAUACAUAUAUUUAGUCAGGCUAAUGAAAAUUACAGUUAUAACUGUGGGUUUAAGAAAAAGAUUCAGUAAGAGUCCCCUAUCCCAUAAGAAGGCUCCUAACUCAGCAUCUUCCACCCUUGUUAAUUAAUGCCAUUUAAGGAAGUUUUAUUUUAAAUGUCAUUUCAAAGGCCUAUUUUCAUAUUUCGUCUCCCCCUUUUCAGAAAUUUUAAGAAUACUUAAAGUCCUAUGAGAACUCUAUUUGAUAAAAGUACUGCUUCCUUGGCAUGAACUAGAGGGAAAUAUUUGAGCUCAAAGCAUUGCACCUUCAUCCUCACCAGGGUCUAAAAUGUGGUAUUCUAAUGAUAGAACUCUAGAGUUUAACAUAGGCAAAGGGAAACAAAGGUGAAAUCAGGAAGCCAUUAAUACGUGAACAUUUCCUUGUAUACAACAACAAGGCAUUUCAUGGCACAAUCUAAUGAUAUUAUUUAUAAGUGAACUACAUCUAUCCUUGAGAAGUGACUGAAAAUAACAAGUUCAGCUGUUUGAGAACUGGUUACAGCCAUUUAGUUUAUAAAACACAAGACUAUUUUUAAAGAAUUUGUAUAUCAGUUUUAAUUUGCAACAGAAAUUAUUUGUAUACCAAAUAAGUAGUAUGUUCUGAAUCUAAAGGAAUGUCGGAGUCAAAAUACACAAUUGAUAACUUAGUAGUUAUGCAGGUGGCAUGUAAAUUAUAAUAGUCGGUCAACAGGUUGGUGCCCUUCUAAAGUUAGCAUGCCGCAUUCCAGUUGAGUGUCCACAUUACAGAAAACAUGUUCACCUUGCUAAACCCAGGGCUGCCUCACGAUUCACUGGAACAUUUCUCCCUUUUCCUUUUGGGACUGAUUUAGUAAAAAAUGAACUCUUUUAAGGUCACUAUACACAUCAUUUCCCAUCUUCUUUUUCAUGACCACAACCCCAGUAGAUUGUGCUGGGACACCAUCUACUCCCAAGAGCUGCUACUCCUUCUGAUGUUGUCUUAUCCAGCUGCCUGUUCAAAUGGAUACCAGGGUUCACAGUGGCUAUAAAUCACACCAUUUCUGUGUUUGGAUUACCUGGUUCAAGCACCAUCCAGGGAUGCAUAGGAAUUUCUCAUAACCAGUCUCUCCAUAACUCAUGUUGAGUGCUUACCUUUGAAGAGGUAUUUGGUGCCCUCCCCCACUUAGCAGUCUGUUAGCAGACAGGUGUCCCAGACUGAACCACGUAGAAUCAUAUAGGCCUAGUUUGUAUUGCCCUUUACCUACUUGCUCAGUUACCUGUGUAGUUUUUAGAAUUUCAAAAGGAAGAAGACCCAAGACAAUCUACUGAAAAGUGUUUAAUAAGACUGUUCAAAUAAGUGAAAGAUAGUAAUAAGCACUCUACAAAACAAAAAACAAAA